UACGUAUGGUGCAAGCGUUAUCCGGAUUUACUGGGUGUAAAGGGAGCGUAGACGGCUGUGUAAGUCUGAAGUGAAAGCCCGGGGCUCAACCCCGGGACUACUUUGGAAACUAUGCAGCUAGAGUGUCGGAGAGGUAAGUGGAAUUCCCAGUGUAGCGGUGAAAUGCGUAGAUAUUGGGAGGAACACCAGUGGCGAAGGCGGCUUACUGGACGAUGACUGACGUUGAGGCUCGAAAGCGUGGGGAGCAAACAGG
rnacentral:rRNA from 1 species